CGGGUGGGAAAGCCCCAGGUCCCUUUUUGGACCCACUCGGGUGGGAAAGCCCCAGGUCCCUUUUUGGACCCAUGAAGACCUCUAGUGUGUGGUACCUACUGUGUGUGGGAGAGCUGGUAGCAGGUAGUUGGUAUGGAUGGGAGGUGUGUGGGAGAGCUGGUAGUUGGUAUGGAUGGGAGGUGUGUGGGAGAGCUGGUAGUUGGUAUGGAUGGGAGGUGUGUGGGAGAGCUGGUAGCAGGUAGUUGGUAUGGAUGGGAGGUGUGUGGGAGAGCUGGUAGCAGGUAGUUGGUAUGGAUGGGAGGUGUGUGGGAGAGCUGGUAGUUGGUAUGGAUGGGAGGUGUGUGGGAGAGCUGGUAGCAGGUAUGGAUGGGAGGUGUGUGGGAGAGCUGGUAGCAGGUAGUUGGUAUGGAUGGGAGGUGUGUGGGAGAGCUGGUAGCAGGUAGUUGGUAUGGAUGGGAGGUGUGUGGGAGAGCUGGUAGCAGGUAGUUGGUAUGGAUGGGAGGUGUGUGGGAGAGCUGGUAGUUGGUAUGGAUGGGAGGUGUGUGGGAGAGCUGGUAGCAGGUAGUUGGUAUGGAUGGGAGGUGUGUGGG